UACGUAGGCAGCGAGCGUUGUUCGGAGUUACUGGGCGUAAAGGGUGUGUAGGCGGUUGCUUAAGUUUGGUGUGAAAUCUCCCGGCUCAACUGGGAGGGUGCGCCGAAUACUGAAUGACUAGAGUGCGGGAGAGGAAAGUGGAAUUCCUGGUGUAGCGGUGAAAUGCGUAGAUAUCAGGAGGAACACCGGUGGUGUAGACGGCUUUCUGGACCGUAACUGACGCUGAGGCGCGAAAGCGUGGGGAGCAAACAGG
rnacentral:rRNA from 1 species